rnacentral:sRNA from 1 species
CCGAGUGGUAACUAGGGUUCCGGGCGAUCCGCCGCAGGACCGAGCGUUGCAGAGACCGGGGGAGUUCCCUGGCUGCACCCAAGGGACAAAAGCCCAGGGGAG